GGUGGAUAUGCAGGUUCUGGUGGAAGAUGAGGAGGUUGUAGUGGUUGAGUUGGUGGUAUUGGAGAAGUUUUGGAGGAGGAUCUGAAGUCAGUGUGGAUUGACUACGUUAAACUACAUAGAGCUUGCUUAAUUGUAUCAGAAGUGCAAGGAUGAAGAGUAUGAAAGUUCAUAGAGAGAUGUAGGAGUGUGCAA